GGUCAAGUGAAGAAGCGCAUACGGUGGAUGCCUUGGCAGUCAGAGGCGAUGAAAGACGUGGUAGCCUGCGAAAAGCUUCGGGGAGUCGGCAAACAGACUGUGAUCCGGAGAUGUCUGAAUGGGGGAACCCAGCCAUCAUAAGAUGGUUAUCUUGUACUGAAUACAUAGGUGCAAGAGGCGAACCAGGGAACUGAAACAUCUAAGUACCCUGAGGAAAAGAAAUCAACCGAGAUUCCCUUAGUAGUGGCGAGCGAACGGGGACCAGCCCUUAAGUUGUAUUGAGAUUAGCGGAACGUUCUGGAAAGGACGGCCAUAGUGGGUGAUAGCCCUGUACGCGAAAAUCCCUUUGCAAUGAAAUCGAGUAGGACGGGGCACGAGAAACCUUGUCUGAAUAUGGGGGGACCAUCCUCCAAGGCUAAAUACUACUGACUGACCGAUAGUGAACCAGUACCGUGAGGGAAAGGCGAAAAGAACCGCGGAGAGCGGAGUGAAAUAGAUCCUGAAACCGUAUGCGUACAAGCAGUGGGAGCCCACUUGUUGGGUGACUGCGUACCUUUGUAUAAUGGGUCAGCGACUUAUUUUCAGUGGCGAGCUUAACCGAAUAGGGGAGGCGUAGCGAAAGCGAGUCUUAAUAGGGCGUCUAGUCGCUGGGAAUAGACCCGAAACCGGGCGAUCUAUCCAUGGGCAGGUUGAAGGUUGGGUAACACUAACUGGAGGACCGAACCGACUACCGUUGAAAAGUUAGCGGAUGACCUGUGGAUCGGAGUGAAAGGCUAAUCAAGCUCGGAGAUAGCUGGUUCUCCUCGAAAGCUAUUUAGGUAGCGCCUCAUGUAUCACUGUAGGGGGUAGAGCACUGUUUCGGCUAGGGGGUCAUCCCGACUUACCAAACCGAUGCAAACUCCGAAUACCUACAAGUGCCGAGCAUGGGAGACACACGGCGGGUGCUAACGUCCGUCGUGAAAGGGAAACAACCCAGACCGUCAGCUAAGGUCCCAAAGUCAUGGUUAAGUGGGAAACGAUGUGGGAAGGCUUAGACAGCUAGGAGGUUGGCUUAGAAGCAGCCACCCUUUAAAGAAAGCGUAAUAGCUCACUAGUCGAGUCGGCCUGCGCGGAAGAUGUAACGGGGCUCAAACCAUGCACCGAAGCUACGGGUAUCAUCUUUUGAUGAUGCGGUAGAGGAGCGUUCUGUAAGCCUGUGAAGGUGAGUUGAGAAGCUUGCUGGAGGUAUCAGAAGUGCGAAUGCUGACAUGAGUAACGACAAUGGGUGUGAAAAACACCCACGCCGAAAGACCAAGGUUUCCUGCGCAACGUUAAUCGACGCAGGGUUAGUCGGUCCCUAAGGCGAGGCUGAAAAGCGUAGUCGAUGGAAAACAGGUUAAUAUUCCUGUACUUCUGGUUAUUGCGAUGGAGGGACGGAGAAGGCUAGGCCAGCCUGGCGUUGGUUGUCCAGGUUUAAGGUGGUAGGCUGAGAUCUUAGGUAAAUCCGGGAUCUUAAGGCCGAGAGCUGAUGACGAGUGUUCUUUUAGAACACGAAGUGGUUGAUGCCAUGCUUCCAAGAAAAGCUUCUAAGCUUCAGGUAACCAGGAACCGUACCCCAAACCGACACAGGUGGUUGGGUAGAGAAUACCAAGGCGCUUGAGAGAACUCGGGUGAAGGAACUAGGCAAAAUGGCACCGUAACUUCGGGAGAAGGUGCGCCGGUGGAGGUGAAGCAUUUACUGCGUAAGCCCCUGCCGGUCGAAGAUACCAGGCCGCUGCGACUGUUUAUUAAAAACACAGCACUCUGCAAACACGAAAGUGGACGUAUAGGGUGUGACGCCUGCCCGGUGCCGGAAGGUUAAUUGAUGGGGUUAGCGCAAGCGAAGCUCUUGAUCGAAGCCCCGGUAAACGGCGGCCGUAACUAUAACGGUCCUAAGGUAGCGAAAUUCCUUGUCGGGUAAGUUCCGACCUGCACGAAUGGCGUAACGAUGGCGGCGCUGUCUCCACCCGAGACUCAGUGAAAUUGAAAUCGCUGUGAAGAUGCAGUGUAUCCGCGGCUAGACGGAAAGACCCCGUGAACCUUUACUAUAGCUUUGCACUGGACUUUGAAUUUGCUUGUGUAGGAUAGGUGGGAGGCUUUGAAGCGUGGACGCCAGUCUGCGUGGAGCCAACCUUGAAAUACCACCCUGGCAACUUUGAGGUUCUAACUCAGGUCCGUUAUCCGGAUCGAGGACAGUGUAUGGUGGGUAGUUUGACUGGGGCGGUCUCCUCCUAAAGAGUAACGGAGGAGUACGAAGGUGCGCUCAGACCGGUCGGAAAUCGGUCGUAGAGUAUAAAGGCAAAAGCGCGCUUGACUGCGAGACAGACACGUCGAGCAGGUACGAAAGUAGGUCUUAGUGAUCCGGUGGUUCUGUAUGGAAGGGCCAUCGCUCAACGGAUAAAAGGUACUCCGGGGAUAACAGGCUGAUACCGCCCAAGAGUUCAUAUCGACGGCGGUGUUUGGCACCUCGAUGUCGGCUCAUCACAUCCUGGGGCUGAAGCCGGUCCCAAGGGUAUGGCUGUUCGCCAUUUAAAGUGGUACGCGAGCUGGGUUUAGAACGUCGUGAGACAGUUCGGUCCCUAUCUGCCGUGGACGUUUGAGAUUUGAGAGGGGCUGCUCCUAGUACGAGAGGACCGGAGUGGACGAACCUCUGGUGUUCCGGUUGUCACGCCAGUGGCAUUGCCGGGUAGCUAUGUUCGGAAAAGAUAACCGCUGAAAGCAUCUAAGCGGGAAACUUGCCUCAAGAUGAGAUCUCACUGGAACCUUGAGUUCCCUAAAGGGCCGUCGAAGACUACGACGUUGAUAGGUUGGGUGUGUAAGCGCUGUGAGGCGUUGAGCUAACCAAUACUAAUUGCCCGUGAGGCUUGACCAU
rnacentral:rRNA from 1 species